rnacentral:tRNA from 1 species
CGGGGCGUAGCGCAGCCUGGUAGCGUCCUUGCAUGGGGUGCAAGGGGUCGUGAGUUCGAAUCUCACCGCUCCGACCA